rnacentral:tRNA from 1 species
GCGCCCGUAGCUCAGCUGGAUAGAGCAUCUGUCUUCGGAACAGAGGGUCGGCGGUUCGAAUCCGUCCGGGCGUACCA